CCUACGGGUGGCAGCAGUGAGGAAUAUUGGUCAAUGGGCGGACGCCUGAACCAGCCAAGUAGCGUGCGGGAUGACGGCCCUACGGGUCGUAAUCCGCUUUUGCACGGGGAUAACACCCUCCACUUGUGGAGGUCUGCAGGUACCCUGCGAAUAAGGGCCGGCAAAUUCCGUUCCAGAAGCCGCGGUAAUACGGAAGGCCCGAGCGGUAUCCGGAUUCAUUGGGCUUAAAGGGAGCGUAGGCGGGAGUGCAAGUCAGCGGUAAAAUCGCGGGGCUCAACCGCGCCCCGCAGUUGAAACUGGGCGCCGUGAGUUGACAAGAGGCAGGCGGAAUUCGUGGUGUAGCGGUGAAAUGCAUAGAUAUCACGAGGAACGCCGAUUGCGAAGGCAGCCUGCCGGGGUGCGACUGACGCUGAGGCUCGAAGGUGCGGGUAUCAAACAGGAUUAGAUACCCUUGUAGUC
rnacentral:rRNA from 1 species